UACGUAGGGGGCAAGCGUUGUCCGGAAUCAUUGGGCGUAAAGAGCGUGUAGGCGGUCCGAUAAGUCGGUUGUGAAAGUCCAGGGCUCAACCCUGGGAUGCCGAUCGAUACUGUCGGACUAGAGUUCGGAAGAGGCGAGUGGAAUUCCCGGUGUAGCGGUGAAAUGCGCAGAUAUCGGGAGGAACACCGAUGGCGAAGGCAGGUCUCUGGGCAUUAACUGACGCUGAGGAGCGAAAGCAUGGGGAGCGAACAGG
rnacentral:rRNA from 1 species